rnacentral:rRNA from 2 species
UUUGAAAUCUGGCGCCUUCGGUGUCCGAGUUGUAAUUUGAAGAAGGUAACUUUGGUUUUGGCUCUUGUCUAUGUUCCUUGGAACAGGACGUCACAGAGGGUGAGAAUCCCGUGCGAUGAGAUGCCCAAUUCCAUGUAAAGUGCUUUCGAAGAGUCGAGUUGUUUGGGAAUGCAGCUCUAAGUGGGUGGUAAAUUCCAUCUAAAGCUAAAUAUUGGCGAGAGACCGAUAGCGAACAAGUACAGUGAUGGAAAGAUGAAAAGAACUUUGAAAAGAGAGUGAAAAAGUACGUGAAAUUGUUGAAAGGGAAGGGUUUGAGAUCAGACUUGGUAUUUUGUAUGUUUUACUCUCGGGUGAGGCCUCUGCAGUUUACUGGGCCAGCAUCAGUUUGGAUGGUAGGAUAAUGACAUUGGAAUGUGGCUCUUCGGAGUGUUAUAGCCCUUGUUGAUACUGCCUAUCUAGACUGAGGACUGCGUCUUUGACUAGGAUGCUGGCAUAAUGAUUUUAAACCGC